CAGGGAGUGAUCAGCGGUGCUGUUUUCCUUAUCAUCCUCUUCUGCUUCAUCCCUUUCCCCUUCCUGAACUGCUUUGUGAAGGAGCAGUGUAAGGCAUUCCCCCACCAUGAAGUAAGUGGGUUCGUGGGGGUGAUUGCCUGUGGCUGGGACCUGGGAGGUACCUGAGAGAAUUGGGGUUAUUUGGGCUUGUGGGGAGGGGCUAAGAAAUUAUCAGAAAAGACAGGAAUUCUUAAAAGGUGGAAUGGGAGCAGGCUUGAGUCAUGGACCUGCCCGAGCCCCCCCCAGUUUGUGGCCCUGAUAGGUGCCCUCCUUGCCAUCUGCUGCAUGAUCUUCCUGGGCUUUGCGGAUGAUGUACUGAAUCUGCGCUGGCGCCAUAAACUGCUGCUACCUACAGCUGCCUCACUACCUCUCCUCAUGGUCUAUUUCACCAACUUUGGCAACACGACCAUUGUGGUGCCCAAGCCCUUCCGCCCGAUACUUGGCCUGCAUCUGGACUUGGGAAUCCUGUACUAUGUCUACAUGGGGCUGCUGGCAGUGUUCUGUACCAAUGCCAUCAAUAUCCUAGCAGGAAUUAACGGCCUAGAGGCUGGCCAGUCACUAGUCAUUUCUGCUUCCAUCAUUGUCUUCAACCUGGUAGAGUUGGAAGGUGAUUGUCGGGAUGAUCAUGUCUUUUCCCUCUACUUCAUGAUACCCUUUUUUUUCACCACUUUGGGAUUGCUCUACCACAACUGACUCAAUAUCAAGACAGGCAAACUGGAGAUGAGCUAUUCCAAGUUCAAGACCAAGAGCCUCUCUUUCUUGGGCACCUUUAUUUUAAAGGUAACAGGGUAACAAGGAGGUAAGGCCCUAGGCUGCCAUCCUGACCUUGAGGAAUGGGGAACCUAGUCCUACAUCAGAUCCAAGGGGAACUUGAAAGCAUUAAAUAGAUCCACAUUCCUAAAGCAUAGGUAUUAGCUGAGGUUCUCUUCACCUCUGGUCCCUCCAGGUGGCAGAGAGCCUCCAGCUGGUGACAGUACACCA
rnacentral:sRNA from 1 species